rnacentral:rRNA from 1 species
AUUGAACGCUGGCGGCAGGCCUAACACAUGCAAGUCGAGCGGAUGAAGGGAGCUUGCUCCUGGAUUCAGCGGCGGACGGGUGAGUAAUGCCUAGGAAUCUGCCUGGUAGUGGGGGAUAACGUCCGGAAACGGGCGCUAUUACCCCUUCCGUCUUAGGGGGGAAGGGGGGGGUUCUUCGGACCUCCCCCUUUCAGUUGAGCCUAGGUCGGAUUAGCUAGUUGGUGGGGUAAAGGCCUACCAAGGCGACGAUCCGUAACUGGUCUGAGAGGAUGAUCAGUCACACUGGAACUGAGACACGGUCCAGACUCCUACGGGAGGCAGCAGUGGGGAAUAUUGGACAAUGGGCGAAAGCCUGAUCCAGCCAUGCCGCGUGUGUGAAGAAGGUCUUCGGAUUGUAAAGCACUUUAAGUUGGGAGGAAGGGCAGUAAGUUAAUACCUUGCUGUUUUGACGUUACCAACAGAAUAAGCACCGGCUAACUUCGUG